rnacentral:rRNA from 1 species
UACAGAGGUCUCAAGCGUUGUUCGGAUUCAUUGGGCGUAAAGGGUGCGUAGGCGGCGCGGUAAGUCGGGUGUGAAAUCUCGGAGCUUAACUCCGAAACUGCAUUCGAUACUGCCGUGCUUGAGGACUGGAGAGGAGACUGGAAUUUACGGUGUAGCGGUGAAAUGCGUAGAUAUCGUAAGGAAGACCAGUGGCGAAGCCGGGUCUCUGGACAGUUCCUGACGCUGAGGCACGAAGGUCAGGGGAGCAAACGGG